GUCCGAACGGCCCGAGCACGCCCACAUUUAUCUACAUCAUUUCAAUGAAAACCAACCGAGUGGCAAAGACAAAGCUGAAUGUCUGUCUUUGGCGUUAGCACUGGCGGGUGGGAGACACAGAUCAAUAAGACCAUUAUGGUCUGCUAUCUCGAGUGCCAGACUUGAAUUUCCUUCUGCCUAUUUGGGACCAGGAUACCCUACAGAAGCCUCUCAAACCCAACAUGUCAAAAAUGAACUCAGACAAUUCCCUAUCAUCCUCUGCAGCAGGCCCUUGGCUUGGAACCAAAACAGCUCUUGGUGAACCUCAAGUCUAUGGCCUUUGGACAGGAACUACACCAUCAACUCUCCUGGUUCUCAGGCCUUUGGGCUUGAACUGGAACUAAACCAUUUGUUCUCCUGAGUCUCCAGCUUGAAAACUCAUUCUGAAGAUACUGGGGCUUUCCGGCCUCCGUAAUGACCUACGUUAAUUCCUUCUAAUAAAUCUCUUUCUAGAUUGCUUCUUUACUGAUAUAGAUAUCCUACUUACACAAAUAUUAAUAUGAAUGCAGGCAUGUGUGUGUGUGUGUGUGUGUGUGUGUGUGUGUGUAAUUCACAUUAUUUGCAUUUAUACAUACACCUGUAUUCGUAUUUUAUAUAUAUACCUGUAUUUGUAUUAGUUUAUGUGUAUAGGUAUCUAUACCGAUAUUCGUAUGUAUCUAUGCCAUAUACAUAUACAUACAAACACACUGAUACCUAUAUCGGUGCUGUAUAUAUAUAAAUAAAUAAAUAUAUGGCAUGACACUGAUAUAUAUAUGGUAUGAUUUGUUUUGUUUUUGUUUUUGAAACGAGUCUCCCUCUGUUGCCCAGGCUGGAGUGCAGUGGCUCACCAUUACCU